rnacentral:rRNA from 1 species
GAUGAACGCUGACAGAAUGCUUAACACAUGCAAGUCAACUUGAACUUCGGUUUGGGUGGCGGACGGGUGAGUAACGCGUAAAGAACUUGCCUCACAGCUAGGGACAACAUUUGGAAACGAAUGCUAAUACCUGAUAUUAUGAUUAUAUGGCAUCGUAUAAUUAUGAAAGCUAUAUGCGCUGUGAGAGAGCUUUGCGUCCCAUUAGCUAGUUGGAGAGGUAACAGCUCACCAAGGCGAUGAUGGGUAGCCGGCCUGAGAGGGUGAUCGGCCACAAGGGGACUGAGACACGGCCCUUACUCCUACGGGAGGCAGCAGUGGGGAAUAUUGGACAAUGGACCGAGAGUCUGAUCCAGCAAUUCUGUGUGCACGAUGAAGUUUUUCGGAAUGUAAAGUGCUUUCAGUUGGGAAGAGAAAAAUGACGGUACCAACAGAAGAAGUGACGGCUAAAUACGUG